UGUAUUCAUAACCAAUGAGAUAUGUGGAAAAAGGAAAGAAAUCUAACUGGUUAGGGAGAACCAAGGAGCAAGGGAAAGAGCAAAGAACACGGGCUAGAAGUCCUGGUUACCCUUGGUUUGUAGGGCAACUGGGAGCACCCUUUCACAGAAAGCACUUUUCUGAAGGAGGAAACUGCAUGAGUAUGUGGGAGUAUCUACUUGAAAAGAAUGUUACAGUACUCGUUUCGCUCUACACACCUUUUAUUUUUAGGAUUUUAGGGGCUAUGGGACGUAAGAGAAGGUUGUUGUUGGUAAUCAGAAACCCCCUGCAGAGUGUAUUCUGUAUGCUGGUAGGAUUGUUUUCAGUAUCUACACAGCAUGAUUUCAAUAGCUAAAAACAAUGUUAUGAUCAUAUCAUGCAAGCCAGAUGGUCAAAACUCAGCCUGUAGUCAGAUUUGAUCAACCACUACGGGGUGCAAAUAAUUGAUGACCACUGAAAUAAUGUCUAAGAGGCUUCUGGGGUUCAGUUUGAUGUAUGUGGCCAGUCUGUGGGACUUCUUCGCAAGGGGCUGGAGAAAUAAGUGACAUUCAAGAUGUGGAGAAGAGACAGCAGAGGGGCACUGCAUGGACACUGACUGGAUGGUCAGGCUGCCUGGAUGAAAGAUUGGCCAUGAAAGAUUCCCUGUACAGACAAUGGCCUUGCACUCACUGGAAAGUCAAACACAGCAUGGUGUAAUCUCUCAGUGAUGGAACUCCAUUUAAAGCUCCCGAACAGCUGUAACACAUUACUAAAUAUCUCAUGUGCUCAAGUAAGAAAUAUUUUCUUGGCUCCUUGUCCCGACAUCCUCCCCCUUCUCCUCACUUACUUGGUUUUAUUUUUCUGUAGAUGGAUUGAUAUCUCGUGGCUUUCCUCUGUAAUGAAAGGUGAACACAAAAGCUGUUAGUUUCAGAGUCAUUUAACUGGAGGAAAAAAAUAUUUGUCCCCUGUAACUCUUAAGGAAGUUUGAAGAGAAUAUUUACCUCAGUGAACUGAGUGAAUGGGGCAUUAAGUGAAGUACAUUGAGGUGAUGGGAAAAUGACUUCUCACUUUUUUUUUUUUUUUAAUUUUAAAAUGCACACAGAAUUCUUACACUCAGAAGCAACAUCUGAGGAAAUGAGCUUGGGAAACCUGAGAAAGGAAUGAAGGAGUCAUUAGUUUUGCCCAUCUGGCAGCAGAACAGCUGGUCCUGCUGAGUCUGGAGAUUCAUUCCUGAUGUCUCUCCUGCUCAGUGUUACGCAGCUCAGCAGAAUCUUGAGGUAUGCAUAAAUGGCUUUGUUUUGCUGGUGGUUGUUUUGGUUGUGGUUUGGUUGGUUGUUGUAAUAGGCAGCAAUGCCCUGUAUGCUUUGUCUCUCUUCUGUUGUUUAUUUUUAAAUCUAAAUGUCAAAACUACUUAUCCCCAUGUUAACUUUAUGGGCCUUAGUGAACUUCUGAUACAUUUAAAAGCAGAUGAAAUUAUCUUUAAAGGAGAGAACACUCUCAAAGAUAAUAUAAUCAUUCUUUCUUAAUGUUUCUUACCUGAAAAUGCUCUUAUCUUCUCUACAGAGGAUGUAAUUGCACAAACAGUAAUAAUUUUUGUAUGGUAAGACAAGGCCAAGGUGUCAGUUCGAUUGAUCACAGAUACACCCCAGCUG
ensembl:lncRNA